AACACGUGGGUAACCUGCCUGUAAGACUGGGAUAACUCCGGGAAACCGGGGCUAAUACCGGAUGCUUGUUUGAACCGCAUGGUUCAAACAUAAAAGGUGGCUUCGGCUACCACUUACAGAUGGACCCGCGGCGCAUUAGCUAGUUGGUGAGGUAAUGGCUCACCAAGGCAACGAUGCGUAGCCGACCUGAGAGGGUGAUCGGCCACACUGGGACUGAGACACGGCCCAGACUCCUACGGGAGGCAGCAGUAGGGAAUCUUCCGCAAUGGACGAAAGUCUGACGGAGCAACGCCGCGUGAGUGAUGAAGGUUUUCGGAUCGUAAAGCUCUGUUGUUAGGGAAGAACAAGUACCGUUCGAAUAGGGCGGUACCUUGACGGUACCUAACCAGAAAGCCACGGCUAACUACGUGCCAGCAGCCGCGGUAAUACGUAGGUGGCAAGCGUUGUCCGGAAUUAUUGGGCGUAAAGGGCUCGCAGGCGGUUUCUUAAGUCUGAUGUGAAAGCCCCCGGCUCAACCGGGGAGGGUCAUUGGAAACUGGGGAACUUGAGUGCAGAAGAGGAGAGUGGAAUUCCACGUGUAGCGGUGAAAUGCGUAGAGAUGUGGAGGAACACCAGUGGCGAAGGCGACUCUCUGGUCUGUAACUGACGCUGAGGAGCGAAAGCGUGGGGAGCGAACAGGAUUAGAUACCCUGGUAGUCCACGCCGUAAACGAUGAGUGCUAAGUGUUAGGGGGUUUCCGCCCCUUAGUGCUGCAGCUAACGCAUUAAGCACUCCGCCUGGGGAGUACGGUCGCAAGACUGAAACUCAAAGGAAUUGACGGGGGCCCGCACAAGCGGUGGAGCAUGUGGUUUAAUUCGAAGCAACGCGAAGAACCUUACCAGGUCUUGACAUCCUCUGACAAUCCUAGAGAUAGGACGUCCCCUUCGGGGGCAGAGUGACAGGUGGUGCAUGGUUGUCGUCAGCUCGUGUCGUGAGAUGUUGGGUUAAGUCCCGCAACGAGCGCAACCCUUGAUCUUAGUUGCCAGCAUUCAGUUGGGCACUCUAAGGUGACUGCCGGUGACAAACCGGAGGAAGGUGGGGAUGACGUCAAAUCAUCAUGCCCCUUAUGACCUGGGCUACACACGUGCUACAAUGGACAGAACAAAGGGCAGCGAAACCGCGAGGUUAAGCCAAU
rnacentral:rRNA from 1 species